rnacentral:rRNA from 1 species
AUACGAAGGUCCCAAGCGUUAUUCGGAAUCACUGGGCGUAAAGAGUACGUAGGCGGUUUGGUAAGUCAGGUGUGAAAUCCCGGAGCUCAACUCCGGAACUGCAUCCGAUACUGCCAGACUUGAGUAAUGGAGAGGCAGGUGGAAUUCUCGGUGUAGCAGUGAAAUGCGUGGAUAUCGAGAGGAAGACCAAUGGCGAAGGCAGCCUGCUGGACAUUUACUGACGCUGAGGUACGAAGGCUAGGGGAGCGAAAGGGAUUAGAAACCCCUGUAGUCC